rnacentral:rRNA from 1 species
CGUAAAGCGCGCGUAGGUGGCUUGAUAAGCCGGUUGUGAAAGCCCCGGGCUCAACCUGGGAACGGCAUCCGGAACUGUCAAGCUAGAGUGCAGGAGAGGAAGGUAGAAUUCCCCGGUGUAGCGGUGAAAUGCGUAGAGAUCGGGAGGAAUACCAGUGGCGAAGGCGGCCUUCUGGACUGACACUGACACUGAGGUGCGAAAGCGUGGGUAGCAAACAGGAUUAGAUACCCUGGUAGUCCACGCCGUAAACGAUGUCGACCAGCCGUUGGGUGCCUAGCGCACUUUGUGGCGAAGUUAACGCGAUAAGUCGACCGCCUGGGGAGUACGGCCGCAAGGUUAAAACUCAAAUGAAUUGACGGGGGCCCGCACAAGCGGUGGAGCAUGUGGUUUAAUUCGAUGCAACGCGAAGAACCUUACCUACUCUUGACAUCCUGCGAAUUUGGUAGAGAUACCUUAGUGCCUUCGGGAACGCAGAGACAGGUGCUGCAUGGCUGUCGUCAGCUCGUGUUGUGAAAUGUUGGGUUAAGUCCCGUAACGAGCGCAACCCUUGUCCUUAUUUGCCAGCGCGUAAUGGCGGGAACUCUAAGGAGACUGCCGGUGACAAACCGGAGGAAGGUGGGGACGACGUCAAGUCAUCAUGGCCCUUACGAGUAGGGCUACACACGUGCUACAAUGGUCGGUACAAAGGGUUGCCAACUCGCGAGAGUGAGCCAAUCCCGAAAAGCCGAUCUCAGUCCGGAUCGGAGUCUGCAACUCGACUCCGUGAAGUCGGAAUCGCUAGUAAUCGU